AUGAUCCAGUGAGCACUACAUACAAAUAAGCCAAAGCUAACAAAGAUAGCAGUGCAUUUAACGUCAUGUAAACUGGAAUGUUAUUGCAAAUUCUUGCUUUUUCCAGUGUACGGUAAUGGUUUUAUGGAUAAAUAUAUUGACAUGAACCUUUACUCCAUCAUGCGUUCAUUUUUAACACACCUGCGUGUCUAGUUAAAAUGGGCAAUUUUGUGUUGCUUUUAACAUCCUCAGUGUGUUAGAACAUUUAACACAUGCUGUAUGUUAAACAUUUCCACACAAAGAUGUGUUAAAAAAGAACAAAAAUAACACAGAUGUGUUGUAUGCUAAGGAGAUGCAUGCUAAAGUAAUGUUAUUGACUCAGGUGAGAGUCUAGCUUAGCAUCACUCAUCCCUACUGGUGACAGCAUCCAGCUAGAUAAGCCGAACUCAGAGCCUCAGAUAAGAUGCAGACCAGAGAGAAUUAUAGAAUAACCCCAGUCCAGAUUUCACAGCCAACAGAAAAACAUGACACUGGAAGUUUAACGCCGACACUGAGGAAGCAGUACAUGAUAUUCACUUUUGAAGCCGUCAUGAUUCCUGUGAAAAUGACCCAACCAUUAACCCACACAAAACUACUCAAAAACUACCCCAGACUGAGAAAAUAACCCAAAAAGGCUUAACCCUAGGUUUGGGUAGAAAAAAUAACCCAACAUUAUAUAUAUAAAUUUACAAAAAGUGGUUAUUUCCCCAAAUGUAUGGAGACUUUUAGGACACCUGUACAGUGCAGUUUAGCUUUCAAUCUAUAAACCUGUGAAAACCUUUAAGUUGUUGUGUUUUCAUAGAAAAAAUCUAGUUGCUUGAGAUAAACAGCUUCAACUAGAACCUCCAAACCAUUAUCUCAUAAUAAUAAUAAUAAUCCCAACAUGAUUAUAAUUAAUCAUCUUUCUGAGAUUAGCUUAGAGUAAAAACUGCAACUUCCUCGUCAUUACCAUUUUAUUUGAACAGACAGCAAUAUUUUUAUUUAUUACCUCCCUGUCCCCACACUUGCCAGUUUGAAUGACAGAUAGGCAAGAUUCUCAAACUGCUCCUAAAAACCAGGAACAUUCUGGUCUUACAGUUCAGGCAGCUCUCCAAUGCAUUCUGACAAGCAUAAACCAGGCUGAAGGAGCUGGAGAAGAACUAAGAGCUUUAGAGUAUGUGUGUGGGGUCUACCAGGAAUCAUACAUACCGUUCCUUGUAUUUGCGAGGUCUGCACCUUAAAUCCGGAUCUGGACACACUUGAUGGAUCUCACCUGCAUACUGUACCUGGAUUCGUACCCAAGACCUGAUGCUGUACUGGAUGUCCUUGGCUGCACAUCUGUUCUCAGGAUCCUGAAAGGACAGCUAUUCUUGGCUAAGAGAAAUCUCUGUGUAUCCUAAAUCAUUCGGAUCUUGCACCAGGAACUGGAAGCCUUAGCUAAUAUGAAACUUUAUUGUGCUUCACAUCAAGCUCAAAAAAUACAUGAAGCAAGUCUGGUACUGAAAAACAAACAGAAAUCAGAAAGUUCUCUGUACUGAAGUCUUUCCUUUGGAGGUAAAUGUGCUGAUUGUUACAAAGCACUCACACUGGAGACUCCUUCCAUAAAUGUUAAAUAAACAUCUCCUGACAAAAAGAGUCACCAUAUGUGUUUUUCUUUCUUAAAUAACAUUUUUUUAAAAAAUUGCUUAUUAUUAGGUCUUAGUUUAUGUGGAGCAUCUACACAAGUGUCUACUAUAUUUACUAUCCAUCCAUUCUACACAGUGCCGUGGGGAAGCCUGGAACCUAUCCCAGGGAACUCGGGGCAAAAGGCAGAGGACACCCUGGACAGGGUGCCAACCCAUCGCAGGACACGAUCACACACACAAUCAUUCACACACUAUGGACAAUUUGAAAAUGCCUACAUGUCUUUGAAAUGGUGGAGGAAACCGGAGUACCCAGAGGAAUCCCCCAGGGCCCGGGGAGAACAGGGUGCAUACAGGGUGGAGGAAGGAAUUUAACCACCAUCCCUGGAGGUGUGAGGCAAACAUGCUAAUCACUAAGCCACCAUGCCCAUUAAUAUAGAAUCAAUAACACUUUAGAAAGUGUGCUUUAAUAUAUUCCUCUGAUUUACCUCACAGCUGGAACUACUGUCAGAGCUGCUUUUAUAGAAAAUUCAUCAAAAUCUGACCAAUCAGAUUUAAGAAUUCAAAAGUGUUGUAAUAUCACACUUAACAUCAUGAUGGCUUCUUUGGUUCCCUUCUCUCUUUUUUUUUUUUUUUUUUUGCAUGUUUACCCUAUCUGAAAGGAAAAAAAUCACAGUUACAAUGAUUGGCAAUAACAAAGAGAAAUGGUAGAAAUGGAGAAAAAUGCAGAUUUUUUUUCAAC
ensembl:lncRNA